rnacentral:rRNA from 1 species
UAGGGAAUCUUCGGCAAUGGACGAAAGUCUGACCGAGCAACGCCGCGUGAGUGAAGAAGGUUUUCGGAUCGUAAAACUCUGUUGUUAGAGAAGAACAAGGGUGAGAGUAACUGUUCACCCCUUGACGGUAUCUAACCAGAAAGGAACGGCUAAAUACGUGCCAG